CCUCUCUCUCCAGCAAUUCUCCACACCCCAGAAGCAAGAAACCCUAGGAUUUCUUGCCGUCAGGUCCUAAAAAGGAAUGAAAAGCAAGGAGGUGCUAGCCCCUUCCCCUUUGCAGCCACCAACCAGAUUGCUCCCCUCCUCUCUUGUAGCCACCCAAGCAUCAGGUCCAGGACCUGAAAUUUUUUGAGAAGAGGUUGAUACAAGUUCCUCUCAGAUCUGGAGUUGAUCUGAUGUCGUUUGAGGCGUGGG
rnacentral:lncRNA from 1 species